rnacentral:tRNA from 4 species
GCGGUCGUGGCGGAAUGGCAGACGCGCUAGCUUCAGGCGCUAGUGCCCGCAAGGGCGUGGAGGUUCAACUCCUCUCGGCCGCA